rnacentral:rRNA from 1 species
GGUGUAGCAAUACAUGCUGACGAGCGGCGAACGGGUGAGUAAUGCUUUGGAAUCUUCCCAGUAGUGGGGAAUAACCAGUCGAAAGAUUGGCUAAUACCGCAUACGUCUGUAAAGGGAAAGCGGGGGCUCGUAAGACCUCGCGCUAUUGGAUGAGCCAAAGUCGGAUUAGCUAGUUGGUGGGGUAAUGGCCUACCAAGGCGACAAUCCGUAGCUGGUCUGAGAGGACGACCAGCCACACCGGAACUGAGACACGGUCCGGACUCCUACGGGAGGCAGCAGUGGGGAAUAUUGGUCAAUGGGGGAAACCCUGAUCCAGCGACGCCGCGUGUGUGAAGAAGGCCUGCGGGUUGUAAAGCACUUUUAGUGGGGACAAAAAGCCACGGAUUAAUACUCUGUGGUCUUGAUUUAACCCAAAGAAAAAGCACCGGCUAACUCUGUGCCAGCAGCCGCGGUAAUACAGAGGGUGCGAGCGUUAAUCGGAAUUACUGGGCGUAAAGCGCGCGUAGACGGUUUUGUAAGUCAGAUGUGAAAUCCCUGGGCUCAACCUGGGAACUGCAUUUGAGACUGCAUGGCUAGAGUAUGGAAGAGGGAAGUGGAAUUUCCGGUGUAGCGGUGAAAUGCGUAGAUAUCGGAAGGAACACCAGUGGCGAAAGCGACUUCCUGGUCCAAUACUGACGUUCAUGUGCGAAAGCGUGGGGAGCAAACAGGAUUAGAUACCCUGGUAGUCCACGCCAUAAACGAUGACAACUAGAUGUUGGGAGGGUCUGCCUCUCGGUGUCGCAGCUAACGCG